rnacentral:rRNA from 1 species
AUUGAACGCUGGCGGCAGGCCUAACACAUGCAAGUCGAGCGGAGCGGCGGACGGGUGAGUGAUGCCUGGGAAUCUGCCUGGUAGUGGUUGAUAACGUCCGGAAACGGGCGCUAAUCCCGCAUCCUAUCAGAUGAGCCUAGGUCGGAUGAGCUAGUUGGUGGGGUAAAGGCCUACCAAGGCGACGAUCCGUAACUGGUCUGAGAGGAUGAUCAGUCACACGGGAACUGAGACACGGUCCAGACUCCUACGGGAGGCAGCAGUGGGGAAUAUUGGACAAUGGGCGAAAGCCUGAUGCAGCCAUGCCGCGUGUGGGAAGAAGGUCUUAGGAUUGUAAAGCACUUUAAGUUGGGAGGCGGUACCAACAGAAGAAGCACCGGCUAACUUCGUGCCAGCCGCCGCGGUAAUUC